AUGGCUCAGACGGAGCCCCCGAAGGCGGUGCGGCUGUGGCGCGACGCCGCCCUGCGCGCACGGAAGCUGCGGGGCGGCCCCGGCGAGCCCGAGCCUGAGCCCGAGCCGGACGCGGGGCCGCCGGGGGGGCCGCCGCCGCUGCCCCUCGCCGCCGCCGCCGCGACUCGCCGCCCGCCUCCGGCGGCCGCGCUGGGGGAGCUGGAGGCGCUGAACCUGAGCGGGCGGGGGCUGGAGGAGCUGCCCGAGGAGGUGGGCGCCGCCCUGAGCGGGCUGCGGGUGCUCAGCCUACGGCGCAACCGGCUGGCCCGCCUGCCCGCCGCCGCCCUGCGCCACCUGGGCCGCCUGGCCGAGCUCGACCUCAGCCACAACCGGCUGCGGGGCCUGGGGGACGGCGGGGCGCUGGCGGGGCUGCGGGGCCUGCGCAAGCUCAGCCUCAGCCACAACGAGCUGGGCGCUGAGGGCCCGGGGCUGCCCCCGCGGCUCGCCGAGCUCGGCUGCCUCGAGGAGCUCGACCUCAGCUUCAACCGCCUGCGCCGCCUGCCCGAAGGCCUGGGCCGCCUGCGCCACCUCCGCACCCUCGACGUCGACCACAACCUGCUGCCCUCCUUCCCUGCCCAGCUGCUGGAGCUGGCCGCCCUGGAGGAGCUCGACUGUUCCGGCAACCGCCACCUCGGGGCCCUGCCGGAGGGCAUCGCUGCCCUCCGCCGCCUCAAGAUCCUCUGGCUGAGCGGCACCGGGCUGGCGGCCCUGCCCGAGGGCCUCUGCCAGCUGAGCGCCCUCGAGAGCCUCAUGCUGGAUGGCAACCGGCUGCAGGCCCUGCCUGCUGGCUUCGGCAGGCUGCAGCGGCUCAAGAUGCUGAACCUCUCCUCCAAUCUGCUGGGGGAGUUCCCCUCUGCCAUCCUGGCGCUGCCCAGUCUGGAGGAGCUCUACCUGAGCCGCAACCAGCUCACCCUGCUGCCCCCUCGCCUCUCUCAGCUCCACCAGCUCCGCACCCUCUGGCUGGACAACAACCGCAUCCGCUACCUGCCUGACUCCAUCGUGCACCUCCACAGUCUGGAGGAGCUGGUUCUGCAAGGCAACCAGAUCGCCAUCCUGCCUGAGGGCUUCGGGCAGCUUUCCCGCGUCACCUUGUGGAAGAUCAAAGACAACCCCCUCAUCCAGCCCCCCUAUGAGGUAUGCAUGAAAGGCAUCCCCUACAUCGCAGCCUACCAGCAAGAGCUGGUCCACUCCCAGCCUGCCCUCAAACCCCGCCUCAAGCUGGUCCUCAUGGGCCUAAAGGAUGCAGGAAAGACCCUGCUGAGACGAUGCCUCAUGGAGGAAGAUGGGCAGAGAGGGGACGUGGGAACCCUGGAGGCAGGGAGCACCCAGCCCAGAGGGUUUCCUGGGAAGCAUCAGGACGUUGGGAAAGUGCCAGUUGGGUGUUGCCCCUUCCCUGAGCUUCAAGAUGCUUCCUCAGCACGGGUACCUGUCACGCAGCAGCUGGAACAUCUCCCUGUUGAGCAGCAGGACGUUCCUUCUCACGCCCCCUCUCAGCGAGUGAAAGGGCAGAGACCAUGCCCUGCACCGUCGCUGCCACCAAAUGCCCCUGAAGUACCAUCAGGACUAGGACUGUCAGGAGGCAGCAAGGGCAUUGAGGUGAUGGACUGGACAGCGGACGCAGAGAGGGGCUUGACAUUCAUUGUGUAUGAGCUGGCAGGGGAUCCAAGUUAUGAUGUGAUCCAAUCUUUCUUCCUCUCUCCUGGAGCCUUGUAUGUGCUGGUGGUGAAUUUGAGUGCCUACGUCCCUCAGCACUUCUACCCCUCUGUGGGCUACUUCUUGCACUGGCUCAGUUCCAAGGUGCCCCAUGCUGUGGUGUGCAUGGUGGGAACCCAUGCUGACCUCUGUGCGGAGCGGGAGUUGGAAGAGAAGUGCCUGGACAUCCAUCACCAGAUUGCUCAGCAGGAAAAGAGGGAUGCUGAGGGACUCCAGAGCUUAGUCCAGCAGGUAGAUGAGGCUCUGGGGCAGGACUUCGACCUGCGCUGCUCCAGCCCACACGCUGCCUUUUACGGGGUCUCAGACAAGAACUUGCGGCGAAAGAAAGCCCAGUUUCAGUACCUUCUCAACCACCGCCCACAGAUCCUCUCUCCAGUGCUGCCUUUCAGCUGCCAGGACCGUUGCCAGGUGCGUCGCCUGCGGGACAAGCUCCUCUCGGUGGCUGAGCACCGGGACAUCUUCCCAAACCUGCACCGGGUGUUGCCCAAAUCCUGGCAAGUGCUGGAGGAGCUGCACUUCCAGCCACAAGCUCAGCAGCUGUGGCUUAGCUGGUGGGACUCGGCCCGGUUGGGCUUGCAGGCCGGCCUGACGGAGGAUCGGCUCCAGAGUGCCCUGUCCUACCUGCACGAGAGUGGGAAGCUGCUCUACUUUGAGGAGCACCUCACCUUGAGGGAGUACGUGUUCCACAACCUGCCACGGCUCAUUGACAUCCUCAAUGUCUUCUGCCAGCGGGAUGCCACUGUGCUGCUCCAGAAGCUUCUCAGUGACACUCAGAUUGACGAACUGAGGACCACUCAGCUCCAUCAUUACGUGGAGGGCUUCUUGCUGCAUGGCCUCCUCCCUGCCCAUGUUAUCCGUCUCCUCCUUAAGCCUCACAUCCAGAGCCGGGAGGAUCUGCAGCUCAUCCUGGAGCUGCUGGAGAAGAUGGGGCUAUGUUACUGUGUCAACAAACCCAAAUGCAAGCCCUUAAAUGGGGCGGCUGCUUGGUACAAGUUUCCCUGCUACUUGAAAAACGAGGUGCCCCAUGCAGAGGCGUGGAUCAACGGCACCAAUCUGAGCGGACAGUCCUUCUUGGUUGAGCAGCUGCAGAUUGAGUACAGCUUUCCAUUCAUUUUCCCACCCGGCUUGUUUGCACGCUACAGUGUCCAGAUCAACAGCCACGUGGUUCAGCGGUCAGAUGGCAAAUACCAGAUUUAUGCCUACCGGGGAAAGGUGCCCGUGGUGGUGAGUUACCGGCCUGCCAGGGGAGCUCUGCAGCCAGACACUCUGUCUAUCGCUAGUCACGCGUCCUUACCAAAUAUCUGGACAGCUUGGCAAGCUAUUACGCCUUUAGUGGAAGAACUGAAUGUCCUGCUCCAGGAAUGGCCGGGCCUGUACUACACUGUGCACGUCCUCUGUUCAAAGUGCCUUAAAAGAGGGUCACCCAACCCACACACUUUUCCAGGAGAACUGCUGAGUCAGCCAAGACCGGAGGGACUGACGGAGAUCAUCUGUCCCAAGAACGGCAGCGAGCGAGUUAAUGUUGCCUUGGUUUACCCCCCCACUCCUACUGUGAUCAGCCCUUGUUCCAAGUGAGACCAGAAAACAGACCUAUUCCCCUAUAAACCGUCAGUGCUGGUGCCAAAGGUUUUCCACCGGGCAGAACAUGGCUGAUGCUCUGCAGUGCUCCCAUCUCUCCAGUUGUGGAGUUGUAUGCUGACGGGGAUCAAUGGGACUUUGGACUCUGAAAUGCUGUGGGGCAGGGGCAGCUCCCAGGCUGGGGCCUCGUGGCUGGAGUGGAUGCAGUCAUCUGGAGGCUGGGGAUCACAACGAGGCAUGAAGCAAAGUGAUUGCUGCAGAUGGCAGGGCCGCUGGCCAGAGGGAAAGCACUGGGGAUAGGUUUCUGUGGACCCAUUGAUUGCGUGUUGAAAAACCAUUUGGAUCUCAUGGUGAAUGUAAAAAUGUUCUUGGUACCAUUUAAUUCAGACCUGCUUGGAGGAAAGUAUCUUGAAAUGAGCUGUAGCUGGAUUCCCUGGAUUUGUUCCUGGACAAGAAGAAACUAGCGAUUUGUUGCUGUGACGUUGCGUGGAAACCACAUUGUAAAGAAACCACAAACUGGAAUCCUUUUCCAGCCGGAGGCCUGUUUCCCAGUGUGCCCAUCUGGUCUGAGAUGCGUGAGCGCUGAAGGAGUGAGAGGACAGAGCAGAUGUCUUACAGCCUGCUCCUUGGGACUGCAGCCCUCCAGCCGGGCUGGGCCACCUCUGUGGGAGCACGGCACUAGCUGGCCUUUGCAGGCACUCAGUCUGGCUGCUGUGCACUGAAGCUGUAAUGCUGGGAGUGUGGCAGUAUGGAGGUUGAUCUAGUUGGGUCUAUUUAAUAUGAAACGGUGAUUGCUCAUCCGCCCACUGUUUAGUAGCUGGUGUAACUGUGUUUUCAUCUGAGUUUUUUUAAUAUGCAAAAGCCAUUUAAUUUUCUAUGCAGUUCAAAAACAUCUCCCCUUUGCAACUGCCAGGUGGGAGAUCAGUGCAGGAGAACCAAGCCAAGUGGCUGAUAGUACUUUUGAUUUUGCUGUCACUGUCUUUUAAGGAUGCAUCCUCAAAUCCUGUGCAAAAUGUCCCUUUGCUGAGCUCCUGCCUUGGAUUCCACUCAGAUUCCUGAGCCCCAGGGAUGCAGGCCCUGUGUUUUUGAAGAAUCUGUCAUUUUUCGUGAGAUAAGCCACAAGGAAAGAGGGCUUGAAUGUACUGCCCCAAGAGCAGAUACCUGAGUUUAAAGCAUGUGUUACAUUCCUGCUCUUGUCCCUGCUCGGAGAGUUACCGAACUGUUAGAAAUGACUAAGGCCUCUGUGGAGCACCCUGCAGCCUUUACUCAAAGUGUAUUAUAAAGAGGUCAGAAAGGACUGGGGACUCAAUUGUCUUCCUGUGGAGCUGACAAUGAAUCUAACCUUUUUGGAAUAGGAGGAGAAUCUCCUGGUACUAGAUGGCUACUUCACUUGAGAGGACUGUGCUGGUUUUGCUUAUUGGUUUGCAGACCCAUUGCUUGUUGACCAGUUGUUUUCCUGCUGAAACUGGUGCACACAGGUUUGGAGGCAAAGCUGGCGAGCUGCUUUGCACUGCAGGACUUACAGCAGCUUGAAGAUGUCCUGGAGUACUUUGUGUUACGCUCUGAGACAAAACCUGGGAUUCAAAUCUUCAUCCGUCCAAGUGAAAUUCCCAGGAUAACAGCUUUGCCUUCUGUGUGACGUGAGAAAUUGCGUGUCUCUAAGCAGCAUACAGAUCUGUAGAGGUGAGUGAGAGAGACCCCUAAGGAUGAUGCUGCACAUCUAGGUCAUCUUAGGGCUUGCAGGGGUACUUGGAGGCUUCUGGCAGCUGUAGAGGGUCCUGGGUGGUGGGACACUUCUGCCUUAACUGUGCUAAAGGCAAAAAGGUCAGAGAAACAAUGUUGUUUCCAGCCUGCCACAAGGCCAGGAUGCCUUUGAUUAGUCUCCUUCCAUAGCAGUGCUGUUCUUUCUGCAUUCUGUCUCUGCUCUGAGCUUGGGGGAUUCAGCUUUAAAAAGUUAAACAGAAAUAGAGACUAGAUUGGGGUUUAACAUGCCUUAUGGCCUCUCAGAUCAGAUGGAAGAGACUGGGGGCUGCAGAAGCAUGGGUUAUCUCCCUUGCAGCGUGUCCCCUAUGCCACAGUUUCAUGGUGGCUGUGAAAACUCAAUAGUAUAUUUGGGUGCUGCUUUCCCAGGAACUCAAGAUGUGCUUGGCUGUGCUGUAGCACUGGAGCUUACGUGGGGCCCCUUCCCCUUUGUACCUCUGAGGCAGUUAAUAUUUGUCAAAGCAGUAGAGGCUCCUCACUGUGAGGAGACAGAUACGGUUUUGUCAAAGGGAACUGCAAAUGUUAUUUAGGAGCUCACUAAGUGAGGCGAAAACCCACUGGCUCGCUCCUGCAGAGCCAGAUCCCAGAGCUUGGUUCCUCUCGCACCUUUUGGAUGGGAUCUUGGGCCGGCAUCCUUGGAACAGCAGUGUGGGGAGGUGGAGAUGCUGCACUGCAGUAAGCACAAGAAGAGGCAAGCAAGUGGGCCUCAGUGUAGCACUCAUCACACGCUUCAUGGCUCAGUUCAUGGACUGUAACUGCAGGUAUUCAUAUAAUCUACAUCACUGGGCAGGACUCUGCGCGCACACACACACAUGCAUGCCCAGACAUACACGCACUACACCCACACUUGCCCACACAUCCUCGCCAAAAUGACUGAAAAUAAAAGUGAUCUCAAUCUCCA